UGGGUGACAUUAGACAAGUUAGGUUAUAGUUCCGUGCCUCAGUUUCACCAGACCUUAAAUGGAAAUUCCGACAAUAUAUACUUCACAGAAUUUUUAGCCCAAGUAAAAUGCCUAGAACAGUGCCUGGUGCAUAGAGAGUCAUACAGAUUUCUAGGCUUUGUUAAGUGUCCGCACGUGACAGUGUACAGGGCCCUCAAGGCACCAACUACGCCGGGUUGCCUGGGGUUUGACUUAGAUCCAUGGGGCAAAACCCACCGCGUCACUGCCGGCCGCCACCCCUUAGCGGAAGAGGAGGCAGGGUUCCUACUUCCGACUCUGCUGCAGGUCACCCACAAGUGGCACUGCUCGGCGGCGUGGUCCCGGCUAGGGACGUAGGAGCCCUCGCGGGGUGUUUCUCGUCGUCUGGGAAGUCCAGGUCUAUGGAGCUCAGACGCUGCGUCCAGGAACAUAAGGGACACCCUCUGAAACUGGCCGCGGGGGCCCAGGCGCGCCUCCAACCUACUCCAGUGUUUUGCUUUGAAGUCACCGCAGGGCGUUUCAUCUCUCGAAGACUUCUAAGAACCUCCCAACUCCAUCCAGUAGAGAUUGAUUUCUCUCUCUGCCUGCAGCAAGGUCUUUCAUCUUGGGAUUUCUCUUUAUCUUUACCUAGGGAGUCUCCUGACCUUUUUUUUUUUGGCACUGGGACUGGGAUUCAAGGGCUCCUGCUUGCCAAGCAGGUGCUGCAGUGCUGACCUACAUCCCC
rnacentral:lncRNA from 1 species